rnacentral:lncRNA from 1 species
GUUCAUUUUGCUUAAUUUAUUUAUGUUUUCUGUAUUGUUCGUUGAUCUUAAAUAUCAUAUUACUAGUACAGUAUCAUUCUGUGCAGAGUUGUCUCCUUUUCAGUCAGAGAACAAUAUGUUGCCAUAAUGUGAUAUAGGUUCAGCCACAGUGGUCUAUUAGCUCUCAUAGUGUUUGCUUUAGAAUUAUUAAAAAAAUACUUUUCCGAGUUACACAAAAUUCAUAAUUACAUAAAAAAUCUUAGGUCUCAAUUAUUUCAUAAGUCAAGGAAUACCUGCAAAUAGAAUAAAUUAUAACAAGGGUGCUAAACCUAUAUUCUGCAGACCAUUUGUGGCUCUUAAUUAUGGCUCAUUUAAUUCAAAUUUUCAAAAAGGGAAUAGGGAAAAAUAGAGUGUAGCAAUCCAGCAAUCCUGUUCCACUUAAUUAUUAAGCAGGAAAGCUCAGUUUCUCAGUGAAUACAUAAAGAUGGUGCUGCUACAUUUUCUCUUGCUUUCUAAUUUGGUGUUUAUUAGAAAAGUGCUUGAGAGUCUCUGGAUCUUUACAGAAAUUAUGAAGAUAUAUACAGACAAUCCUCAACUUGCAUCAGUAGAUUGCUCCAUGAAAUUUUAUAUAAGUCAAAACAUAUGUAUGGCAGAGCAUUUGUUAUACAUUAUUAAUAUGGCACAAAGACAUAACAUUGAAAAUACACUUAAUUCUGAUUUUACAUGAUAGAUACGUUCCUGAAUAACAUAUGCAAAAACAAUUUGUGUAAAAAAAAUAUACUGUAUCUAUGGGAAAAUAGAAGAUUGGUUCAAGACCUAAAAUAAUCA